ACACACACACACACACACACACACACACACCAGGGAUCCCACUGUGCUCGCUCAGUCCUCAGCCUGGCUCCAGCUGUAGCAUCGUUAGGGCCCAUCAGCCAUCUGUCCCUGACCAACAGAGAUCAAGACGGCCACACUGUCAUUGGAGCAGGGUGCACACACCCUGGGGGGGAGACAUCUCUGACAGACUCCUGGCGGGACACAGAGACAAAGACUCCUCCUCUGCCUGUUGUAUUUGUUUCUGUCUACCAUCCUGUAGGUUCACUGCAGCCCAGUUUCUGGAGAGCUACCAUCCUGUAGGUUCACUCCAACCCUGUUCCUGGAGAGAUACCGUCCUAUAGGUUCCCUACAACCCUGUUCCUGAAGAGCUACCAUCCUGUAGGUUCCCUCCAGUCCUGUUUCUGGAGAGCUACCAUCCUGUAGGUUCACUCCAGUCCUGUUUCUGGAGAGCUACCAUCCUGUAGGUUCACUCCAACCCUGUUCCUGGAGAGCUACCGUCCUAUAGCUUCCCUACAACCCUGUUCCUGAAGAGCUACCAUCCUGUAGGUUCACUCCAGUCCUGUUUCUGGAGAGCUACCAUCCUGUAGGUUCCCUCCAACCCUGUUCCUGAAGAGCUACCCUCCUGUAGGUUCACUCCAGUCCUGUUCCUGAAGAGCUACCCUCCUGUAGGUUCACUCCAGUCCUGUUCCUGGAGAGCUACCGUCCUGUAGGUUCACUCCAACCCUGUUCCUGGAGAGCUACCGUCCUGUAGGUUCACUCCAACCCUGUUCCUGAAGAGCUACCAUCCUGUAGGUUCACUCCAACCCUGUUCCUGGAGAGCUACCGUCCUGUAGGUUUUAACUCCAACUCUGUUCCUGGAGAGCUACCGUCCUGUAGGUUCACUCCAACCCUGUUCCUGAAGAGUUACCCUCCUGUAGGUGCACUCCAACACUGUUCCUGGAGAGCUACCGUCCUGUAGGUUUUCACUCCAACCCUAAUCUUGCGCACUUGAUUCUAAUAAUUAGCUGGUUGAUAAACUGAAUCAGGUUAGUUACAACUGGGGUUGGAAUGAAAACCUACAGCAGGGUAGCUUCAGACAUCAAUGAGGACCUCUGUGGAUGACCCUGAGGAUGAAAGUGAGGAUGACAGACAAGCUAAGUAUCUUAUCUCCAGGUUAUGGAUGUGUCACUGCAACCUUAAAGGUCCUCAAUGAUGUCACCAUUGCCCUUGAUUAUAAGCAAUGUUGUGUUGCUAUUUUUAUUGACUUGGCUAAAGCUUUUGAUACAGUAGAACAUUUCAUUUUUGUGGGCCCGCUAAGGAGUAUUGUUGUCUCUGAGGGGUCUGUGGCCUGGUUUGCAAACUACCUCUCUUAAAGAGUGCAGUGUAUAAAGUCACAACAUCUGCUGUCUCAGCCACUGCCUGUCACCAAGGGAGUACCCCAAGGAUUGAUCCUAGGGCCCAUACUCUUCUCAACUUCCUACUGCUCAGGCAGUAGGAAGCCCUCUCAUCCAUUUAUAUGCAGAUUAUGCAGUCUUAUACACAGCUGGCUCCUCCCCUGGAUUUUGUGUUAAAUGCUCUACAACAAAGCUUAGUGUCCAACAAGCUUUCUCUGCCCUUAACCUUGUUCUGAACACCUCCAAAAUAAAGGUAAUGUGGUUUGGUAAGAGGAAUGCCCCUCUCCCCACAGGUUACUACCUCUGAGGGUUUAGAGCUUGAGGUAGUCACCUCAUACAAGUACUUGGGAGUAUGGCUAGACGGUACACUGUUCUUCUCUCAGCACAUAUCAAAGCUGCAGGCUAAUGUUAAAUCUUGACUUGGUUUCCUCUAUCGUAAUCACUCCUCUUUCACUCCAGCUGCCAAACUAACCCUGAUUCAGAUGACCAUCUAGAUUACAGCAGGUAGCCUAGUGGUUAGAGAGUUGGGACAGUAAUUGAAUGGUUGCUGGAUUGAAUCCCUGAGCUGACAAGGUGAAAAUCUGUCGUUCUGCCCCUGAACAAGGCAAUUAACCCACUGUUCCCCGGUAGGCCAUCAUUGUAAAUAAAAAUUUGUUCUUAACUGACUUGCCUAGUUAAAUAAAGGUACAAUUUUUUAAAAAGUAAAAAAUUAAGGAGACGUAAUUUAUAGAUAAGGUAAGGGUGCUCUUGAGCAGCUGGAUGUUCUGUCAUGCCUUGGUCUUAGUAUUUUGUGUUUUCUUUUAUUAUUUGUUCAGGCCAGGGUGUGACAUGGGUUUAUUGUGUUGUCGUAUUGGGUUUUUUGUAGGCAUUGGGAUUGUGGCUGAUUAGGGGUGUGUCUAGCAUAGGCUUGGCUGCCUGAGGCGGUUCUCAAUCAGUCAGGUGAUUCUCGUUGUCUCUGAUUGGGAACCAUAUUUAAGUAGCCUGGGUUUUACUGUGUAUUUUGUGGGUGAUUGUUCCUGUCUCUGUGUAGUGUUCACCAGAGGCUGUAAUUAGGUUUUCACGUUUCGUUUGUUGUUUUUGUAUUUAUUUAGUUAUUUCAUGUAUCGCUAUUUUUUCAUUAAAGAACAUGAGUAACCACCACGCUGCAUUUUGGUCCGACUCUCCUUCAACAGACGAACGCCGUUACAUGUUCCUUACCAUUCGGCCAUCAGAUUUUCCACCAAUGCUCCUUAUAGGACACAUCACUGCACUCUAUACUCCUCUGUAAACUGGUCAUCUCUGUAGACCCGUCACAAGACCCACUGGUUGAUGCUUAUUUAUAAAACCCUCUUAGGCCUCACUCCCUCCUAUCUGAGAUAUCUACUGCAGCCCUUCCUCCACAUACAACACCAGUUCUGCCAGUCACAUUCUGUUAAAGGUCCCCAAAGCACACACAUCCCUGGGUCGCUCGUCUUUUCAGUUCGUUGCAGCUUGCGACUGGAACGAGCUGCAUAAAACACUCAAACUGGACACUUUUAUCUCAAUCUCUUCAUUCAAAUACUCAAUCAUGGACACACUUACUGACAGUUGUGGGUGCUUUGUGUGAUGUAUUGUUGUCUCUAUCUUCUUGCCCUUUGUGCUGUUGUCUGUGUCUAAUAAUGUUUGUUCCAUGUGUUGUGCUGCUGCCAUAUUGUGUUGAUACCAUGCUGUGUUGACAUGUGUUUCUGCCUUGCUAUGUUGUUGUCCUAGGUCUCUCUUUAUGUAGUGUUGUGGUGUCUCUCUGGUCGUGAUGUGUGUUUUUUCCUAUAUAUCUAUAUCUAUAUAUCUAUAUAUUUUUUCUUCUUCUAUUUUUACCCCGUCUCUGCAAGAUGCCUUUUGGUAGGCCAUCAACCGACUUGCCUAGUUAAAGACGUGAAAUAUAUAUAUAUAUUUUUUAAGACAAAUUCAUCAUGGACUCACUCUCACUUUGAACAUGGUGUUAAAUGCUGCUGAACAUUGUUAGUGGCAACCAAACACUCGGUCGACAGCAAUUUAACUGAGCUAGUAUGUGAUCGUAAAGGUUAGUAAUGUGGUAAUAACGUCUGAUAGUAGCGUGGUCUAUAGAGCUUGCUGGCUUGUUUUCCUAUAAAACAGAAAUGAGUUACCUCUGGUUCGUUUGGCCAUUCUUAUGGGGUAAAUGAAUGGGGAAAGAAUAUGGUUUUGGG
ensembl:lncRNA